GCCUCACUCAGUGGGUUAAGGAUCCAGUGUUGCUAUGGCUGUGGCAUAGGCCGGCAGCUGUAGCUCUGAUUAGACCCCCUAGCCUGGGAACCUCCAUAUGCUGCGGGUGCGGCCCUAAAAAAAGACAAAAGACAAAAAAUGUAUAUAUAUAUAUUAUUGUGGUUGGUUUACAAUGUUGUGCCUAUUUCUGCUGACAGCAAAGUGGCUCAGUUAUACAUAUAUUACAUUCUUUUUUAAUAUUCUCUUCCAGCAUGGUCUAUCCCAGGAGAUUGGAUUUAGUUCCCUGUGCUACAUAGCAGGAACUUGUUGUUUAUAAAGUUAGUGAUUUUAGUGCUUUUCUGUGUCUGGGAAGAUACAAGAAUCUUGGUCAUUUGAAAAUUUUCCUUAGAUCUUAAUUAUCUAAAGGCCAGUAUAUCCAAAGCAUAGACUGUUUCCUGUUUUUUCCAUUCUGAAUUCCCCUCGGGGUACACUGCCGGUGGGCAACUGUGGGUGGCUAAUGGCUUGAUCCUUGUAAGACUGGUAUGGUAGGCAACAUUUUUUUGCUAAGGGUGGAGCCAAAUUGAUGAAUCUCUUGACCCUUACUGAGAGAGGGCUUUUUCAGGAAAGCUGGUGGUUCCUGACAUUUUGUGGUAACUUACUGCUUUGGGGAUCCACUGAAAGCUAUAGGCUUGUUCUUCAGCUAUGAUAAAAUAUCAGGAAUUCACAGAUUUCCUGAAAGCUGCUCAGAGACUUUCUUCUGGGCAUUGUGGGACCAUUCAAGUCUCCUCCUUUUUGUCUUUUGUCUUUUUAUUUAUUUAUUGUCUUUUGUCCUUUUAGGGCCACACCCACAGCAUAUGGAGGUUCCCAGGCUAGGGGUUUAAUCCGAGCUGUUGCUUCCGGCCUACACCAGAGCCACAGCAACACCAGAUCCAAGCCGUGUCUGCGACGUAUACCACAGCUCACCGCAACGCUGGAUCCUUAACCCACUGAGCGAGGCCAGGGAUUGAACUUGAAAUCUCAUGGUUCCUAGUUGGAUUCGUUUCCACUGUGCCACAAUGGGAACUCCCCUAAGUCUCCAUUUUUAAGCAGAAGGAGAACAUAAUCACAUUUUCCUUUUAUUUUUAUUAUUAUUAUUAUUUUUUGGUUGUACCUGUGGCAUGUGGAAGUUCCUGAGCUAGGGAUCAAACCUGCACCACAUAAGUGACCUGAGCCACAGCAGUGACAAUGCUGGAUCUUUUAACGACUAUGCCAUUGGGGAACUCCUCACAUUUUCCUUUUAGAAAGGUGAGGUGUAAAUUGGUAGUUAUGGACAGUCUUAAUUCAAAGGAAAGACAGAAGAGGAUUUCAGCCCCCUGCUCUGGUGUUUGAGGUUGGGGUUGGGAACGAAUCUAGCGGACUAAUCUUCCCUCACAUCACACUCAUAGUUUUUUCCUCCUGAACUCAGAGGUGGUGGUGGGGAGGGAAUGGACAUGUUAGAUGAAGGGAAUGGAUGUGAUGCUUGAGAGGAAGCUCUAAUAUCAAAGGUGGAAUAUUUUCUAGUGUCCUAGUAGUCAAAAUAGUAUGGAAAUAGAUGUAUUUGUGUUGCCUUCAUAUCACUGUUAAUAUUGAGAAUCUGACAUAAUGACAGAAUAUGCAAAUUUCAAAUAUAAUUUCGCAUGACUACUCUUUGGUUCAUGAGCCUCAGACUAAGUCUAGAUGACUUCUUUUUCUUACCAUAUCAUCAAAGCUGCUAACUCCUUUCCCCCUUAAUUCUCUUUAUUUUAUUUAUUUAUUUAUUUGUUUAUUUUUUGCUUUUUAGAGCUGCGCCCUCAGCAUAUGGAAGUUACCAGGCUAGGAAGUUAACCAGGCUAGUUACCAGGCGUUGCCAAUCAGAGCUUCAGCUGCUGGCCCACACCACAGCCACAGCAAUGUUGUGUUGGUUUUAAAAUAUAUUCACAAAUUGUUUGAUACUACUCCCUUCUACAGGUAGAGCUUCAUUUCCCUCUGGGACCUCUUUCCCUCAGGACUGAGGACUGGACUCAGUGGCUUCUUCCAGUGAACAGAAUGAGGUAGAAGUGAUGACGUGUCACUUCUGAGAUGAAGUUAUAAAAUGCAUGUGGCUUCCUCUUGUUACCAAAUGCAAGUUCAUGUGCCCAGUCAAACAAACUGAAACAUUGGAAUUUGGAGCAAAGAAAGUUUUAUUGCAGGGCCAUGCAAGGUGAAUGGGUGAUUUGUGCUCAAAAAUCCCAAACUCCCCAGUAGUUUUCAAAGAGAAGUUUUUACAGACAAAACUUGGGGUGAGGGCUACAGAGUGUGUGACUUUCCUCUGAUUGAUUGGUGGUGAGGCAACAGGGAGGUGCUCCAGGAAUCUUGGUCUCAGUCUAAAUUUGCCAUCCUUCAUCUAGGUGGGGGCCAUAGUUCUUGUAGAAGAACUCAAAGGUGUCACUUUGGGUGUUCCUUGAGGGGGAACUGGGACUCUACCCCAAGGCUGCCCUAUCCUUUCUUGACUGCUCCUCCCUUGAUUCUGCAUACCCUCUCUACCCUGAUUAGCAACUGUUUGAAUCUGCCCUUUAGAACUCAGGAAGAUCUUGAAGACUUAGUGAAACCUAUUUCUUUUUUUUUUUUUAAUUUGUUUUUUGCUUUUUAAGACUGCACCUGUGGCAUAUGUAUAUCUGUGACCUAUACUGCAGACCACGACAACUCCAAAUCCUUAACCCACUGAGCUAGGCCAGGGAUCAAACCUGUAUCCUCAUGGAUGCUAGUCAGAUUCAUUUCUGCUGAGCCACAAUGGGAACUCUGAAACCUAUUUCUUUUCUUUUCUUUUUUUGCUUUUUAGGGCCACACCCGCAGCAUAUGGAAGUUCCCAGUCUAGGGGUCUGAUCGGAGCAGUACCUGAUGGACUACACCACAGCCACAGCCACUGUCCUCAUGGAUACUAGUUCAAUUCGUUACCACUGAACCACAAUGGGAACUCCUGUUAUCUGCUUUUUAUGUACUUUGCUGGAAACUGGCCUACCUUUCUGGCUGCAUUUUAUUAGUUCUCUCUUCCAGAUCUUAGAAUGAUUCUCUAAUGCUUAAGACCAUAGUCAGAUAUAUUACUUUCAAGCCCAGAAAUCUUAGUUGUCAGAUGGACUAAACAUCAACUCAUGGAAGCAACAGCCUCUACAGUAUUCUUCAUUGCCUCCAUCUCAGAAGUUAUAUUUUUAGCAGUGAAGAGUGUGACUUUCUUCAUGUCUAUGACAAGGUCAGAACUCAGAGGAUGUGAAGCAAUGGCAGGGAAACAAAUGCAAGACCAAGGGAGUUCAGAGACUUGGGUUCUAGCCUAGUUCUGUCUUUUGGGCACUGUAUACUUUCCUAAGGCUGCAGUAAUAAAUUACUAUAAACAGGAGGCUUAAAACAACGGAAUUUUGUUGAAAAGAUAUAUACACUCCUAUGUUCAUCAUGGCAUUAUUUACAGUAGGUAGCCAAAAUAUGGAAAUAACCUAACGGCCCAUCAACAGAUGAAAGGAUAAAAAGUUGUGGUAUAUAUAUAUGUAUAUGAUGGAAUAUUAUUCAGCCAUAAAAAGAUGAAAUCUUGCCAAUUGUAACAGUAUGGAUGGAUCUUGAGGAUAUUAUGCUAAGUAAAAUAGACCAGAUGAAUAAAGACAAAUACCAUAUGAUUUUACUCAUUGGGGAAUAUAAAAAGUAAACAGGAAAAAAAAAUGAACAGGAAUUCCUGUUGUGUCACAAUGGAAAUGAAUCCAGCAUGCAUCCAUGAGGAUGCGGGUUAGAUCCCUGGCCUCAUUCAAUGGGUUGGGGGUCUGGCGUUGCUGGGAGCUGUGGUGUAGGCCGGCAGCUGUAGCUCCGAUUCUUCCAUCCCUAGCCUGGGAACUUCCAUAUGCCACGAGUGUGGCCCUAAAAAGCAAAAAUAAAUAAGUAAAUAAAUAAAUGUAUUUAUUAAGAUAGGACACUUGUAAGAGAUGCAAGUGGGCUGGCAAGGAAGCUCUGCCCCAAGGGUUAGGUGGGCCAUAGUUUUAUAAUCCAAGUGCAGUGGGGAUGGGAAAAGACCGAUUCUUCCUCUUUCUCCAAGUAGUUGCUCCUCCUUGGUAUCCAGCAAGAGUAUUUGACCCUAAAAUUUCAAACUAGGACUGUCACGGUGCUUAUUCAAAUCACCAGAAGGGUGGUCCUUAAACAUCUGCCCUUGGUCUGAACUUGAAUGCAGGCCUCACUCCAUCCCCCACCCAAUGACCUGAGGCAUAGCUCAGGCCUCCACUAGUCAAGCAAGCCUGUUUCAUUCUGAUGGCUUUCUUGAGCAGUUAUUACCUUACAGUGAUCUCCCAAAGUUCCCUAGGUUUCCCUCUCUAUCUUAUGGUCCCUUAUUGGGACUUCUACAACUAUCUGUAACUGUCCUACUCCCUUUCAGUUACCAGAGGGGCAAAAUGGGUACAGAGGAUCAACCAUAUGGUAAUGGAUGGAAACUAAAUUUUUGGUGGUGAACAUGCUGUAGGGUAUACAGAAGUAAAAAUAUAAUGCACACAUGAAAACUUAUGUGUUUCAUUGGUUAUAAACCAAUGUUACCCCAAUUAAAAACAAAACUAAAUAGGAGUUCCCUUGUGGUCCAGUAGUUUAAGCAUCUGGCAUUGUCACUGCAGCAGCUUGGGUCACUGCUAUAGCAUGGGUUCACUUCCUCACCUGGGAACUUCCAUAUGCCAUAAGUGCAGCAAAAACAAAACAAAACAGGGAGUUCCUAUCAUGGUUCAGUGGCCUUGCUCAGUGGGUUGAGAAUCCAGCAUUGCGGUGAGCUGUGGUGUAGGUCGCAGACGAGGCUUGGAUUCCGAGUUGCUGUGGCUCUGGCGCAGGCUGGCGGCUACAGCUCUGAUUCAACCCCUAGCCUGGGAACUUCCAUAUGCCGAGG
rnacentral:lncRNA from 1 species